ACGAACGCUGGSGGCAGGCUUAACACAUGCAAGUCGAGCGCCCCGCAAGGGGAGCGGCAGACGGGUGAGUAACGCGUGGGAACGUACCCUUUACUACGGAAUAACGCAUGGAAACGUGUGCUAAUACCGUAUGUGCCCUUCGGGGGAAAGAUUUAUCGGUAAAGGAUCGGCCCGCGUUGGAUUAGCUAGUUGGUGGGGUAAAGGCCUACCAAGGCGACGAUCCAUAGCUGGUCUGAGAGGAUGAUCAGCCACAUUGGGACUGAGACACGGCCCAAACUCCUACGGGAGGCAGCAGUGGGGAAUAUUGGACAAUGGGCGCAAGCCUGAUCCAGCCAUGCCGCGUGAGUGAUGAAGGCCCUAGGGUUGUAAAGCUCUUUCACCGGUGAAGAUAAUGACGGUAACCGGAGAARAASCCCCGGCUAACUUCGUG
rnacentral:rRNA from 1 species